GCUGAGGAGCCUGAGACCAGAGAAGCAGCCGGUGGUGCAGGACUGCGCCGAGGCAGGACAGCGGCCUUCUUCAGUGAGAGGGGAGGUGAAAGGACGGAGCGAGAGCCGGAGAACACUUCAGCAACCUGUGUGCCAUCCUUGCCGGGCGGCGGGGGACCGGCUAGUCUUCUCCGCGUCGGUCCGCGGUUAACACGUAUACCCUGAUGCUGGGAAAGAUUGAAGGCAGGAGAAAGGGAUGACAGAGGAUGAGAUGGUUGGAUGGCAUCACCGACCCAAUGGACGUGGGUUUGGGUGGACUCCGGCAGUAGGUGAUGGACAGGGAGGCCUGGCGUGCUGCCGUCCAUGGGGUCGCAAAGAGUCGGACACGACUGAGUGACUGAACUGAACUAACAGGUGUACAGCCCUACAUGGCACAGGGAGCUGGCUGGUCAACAUGCUGAGGGAAUUCCCUGGCCGUCCAGUGGAUGGGACUCGGGGCCAUCUCUGCGGUGGCUGAUUUCAAUCUCUGGCUUGGGAGCUAAGAUGCCGAAAGCCCGGGGGAGGCCAAC
ensembl:lncRNA